UUCGGCCCCCAAACCGACCUUUUCUCCACUCCAGCGACUGUGCCUGAUGUUGCCCGAAGGAUGCCGAAGAAAAAGACUUCAGGACUGGAAGCGCUCUUACCCCAAGAUCGGUCACCUUUCCCCUUUCCGAAUUCCCCGCACCAGUUCACACCAGCAACUGAGAUUUAGGCCUGUUUUCCUGAAGGGCCUCAGCCAGUCCCUGCACUUAGUAGGCAUGCAAUAA
rnacentral:lncRNA from 1 species